AAAUUGAAGAGUUUGAUCAUGGCUCAGAUUGAACGCUGGCGGCAGGCCUAACACAUGCAAGUCGAGCGGUAGCACAGAGAGCUUGCUCUCGGGUGACGAGCGGCGGACGGGUGAGUAAUGUCUGGGAAACUGCCUGAUGGAGGGGGAUAACUACUGGAAACGGUAGCUAAUACCGCAUAAUGUCGCAAGACCAAAGUGGGGGACCUUCGGGCCUCAUGCCAUCAGAUGUGCCCAGAUGGGAUUAGCUUGUAGGUGAGGUAAUGGCUCACCUAGGCGACGAUCCCUAGCUGGUCUGAGAGGAUGACCAGCCACACUGGAACUGAGACACGGUCCAGACUCCUACGGGAGGCAGCAGUGGGGAAUAUUGCACAAUGGGCGCAAGCCUGAUGCAGCCAUGCCGCGUGUAUGAAGAAGGCCUUCGGGUUGUAAAGUACUUUCAGCGAGGAGGAAGGCGUUAAGGUUAAUAACCUUGGCGAUUGACGUUACUCGCAGAAGAAGCACCGGCUAACUCCGUGCCAGCAGCCGCGGUAAUACGGAGGGUGCAAGCGUUAAUCGGAAUUACUGGGCGUAAAGCGCACGCAGGCGGUCUGUUAAGUCAGAUGUGAAAUCCCCGGGCUCAACCUGGGAACUGCAUUUGAAACUGGCAGGCUUGAGUCUUGUAGAGGGGGGUAGAAUUCCAGGUGUAGCGGUGAAAUGCGUAGAGAUCUGGAGGAAUACCGGUGGCGAAGGCGGCCCCCUGGACAAAGACUGACGCUCAGGUGCGAAAGCGUGGGGAGCAAACAGGAUUAGAUACCCUGGUAGUCCACGCUGUAAACGAUGUCGACUUGGAGGUUGUUCCCUUGAGGAGUGGCUUCCGGAGCUAACGCGUUAAGUCGACCGCCUGGGGAGUACGGCCGCAAGGUUAAAACUCAAAUGAAUUGACGGGGGCCCGCACAAGCGGUGGAGCAUGUGGUUUAAUUCGAUGCAACGCGAAGAACCUUACCUACUCUUGACAUCCACGGAAUUUAGCAGAGAUGCUUUAGUGCCUUCGGGAACCGUGAGACAGGUGCUGCAUGGCUGUCGUCAGCUCGUGUUGUGAAAUGUUGGGUUAAGUCCCGCAACGAGCGCAACCCUUAUCCUUUGUUGCCAGCGGUUCGGCCGGGAACUCAAAGGAGACUGCCAGUGAUAAACUGGAGGAAGGUGGGGAUGACGUCAAGUCAUCAUGGCCCUUACGAGUAGGGCUACACACGUGCUACAAUGGCAUAUACAAAGAGAAGCGACCUCGCGAGAGCAAGCGGACCUCAUAAAGUAUGUCGUAGUCCGGAUUGGAGUCUGCAACUCGACUCCAUGAAGUCGGAAUCGCUAGUAAUCGUAGAUCAGAAUGCUACGGUGAAUACGUUCCCGGGCCUUGUACACACCGCCCGUCACACCAUGGGAGUGGGUUGCAAAAGAAGUAGGUAGCUUAACCUUCGGGAGGGCGCUUACCACUUUGUGAUUCAUGACUGGGGUGAAGUCGUAACAAGGUAACCGUAGGGGAACCUGCGGUUGGAUCACCUCCUUACCUGAA
rnacentral:rRNA from 1 species